rnacentral:lncRNA from 1 species
GUCUGGCAGGGAGCAGAGAGCUGCCCAAGUCUCAGGCGUGUGCCCACCGAGUCUCCAGGUCUCAACCCGCUCUAUCCACCGAACUUCCUGGCAUGGUUUUACCAUCCCACAGGUCAUGCCAGCUUCCUGCUUCUGUUAUCACUCCGUGCCUUCCCCUACAUGAUGUCCUCUGUCCCUCUGGAACUGUAAGUCUAAAUAAGCUCUUUCUUCCUCAGGUUGCCUUUAGAUACGGCAUUUUAUCACAGCACCAGAAAAGCAACAAAUUCCCCCUGCAAUUCCACUCUUGAGCUGGAACCUGUGUGAAGUGAAAAAGUACAGUCAGACAACGC